rnacentral:snoRNA from 1 species
GUAUACAUUCUUCAUGAAAAGAUGAAAUUGAUGGGCCUCUCAUAGUGUCCCGUGCCAGAGUGAACUGUAACCCCGAACCAUUCCCUGGCUCUAUCCCAUGGGCGUUGGGCACUAAAGUGGGUUGCACAGUG